rnacentral:tRNA from 1 species
GCCGGAAUGGCUCAGUGGUAGAGCGUCGCACUCGUAUCCCUGCGCAAUGCGAAGGCCCACGGUUCAAUCCCGUGUUUCGGCA